UCCCUUCAAACAUGAUUCUGUGCCAACUUAUUUUAGCAUAGGUCUCCAGGAAGGCAGCUCACGAUAUGAGAAUAAUAAAGCGCAGUGAGGUUUGGUACCUGCUAGAAGACUGAGAAUGGAGCACAGAGACAGGAUCUAGAGAUAUCUCCAAGUUUUGGAAUUGACCUCUGUUCAACUCCUGAUUAAGCACUGACAUAAUACAGUAUUGCUCUCAUUAUUGAGAACCAUUUCAGUGUGGCUUCAGGCCUGGUUUGGGCAGUGAAAUGACACCCUGAA